rnacentral:piRNA from 1 species
UUCCUUCGCUUGCGUGGUGUGCGUCCUCU